rnacentral:hammerhead_ribozyme from 1 species
GCACUGCUGACGAGUCCCAAACAGGAAGAAACAGGUGUCCAGUGC